GGUUGUGUAGUGUAGCGGUUAUCACUCCGGAUUCUGACCUUUCAAUAUUCCGGCAACCCCGGUUCGAUUCCGGGCACGACCU